rnacentral:tRNA from 1 species
ACCACUAUAGCUCAGUGGCUAGAGCGUUGGUCUCGUAAACCAAAGGUCGAAGUACGAAUCUUACUGGCGGCA